CGGCAAUUUCUUCCCGUAGACUGUAAGAGGGUCGAAGUUCUGUUUCGUGGAUUUAAAGUCGAUUUGGAGUUCUUUACAUUUAUCUGCAUUAAGAAGUAAUCUGUUGGAAUUCGACCAACUAGCCGUUUUGUGGAAGUUACUGAUAAAAAAUAAGCGAAAUUAAAAUAAAUUCAGUCCCAAAAACACAAAAGACUUGUGUAAAAAUACUAAAACAAGUAUUCGCCUCAGGCUCGGUGAUUAUCGGGGAAUAUUCACCUCGACUUCGUCUCGGCGAAUAUUCCCCGAUAAUCACCUCGCCUUCGGCGAAUAAUUGUUAAAUA